GUAGUUAGCCGGGGCUUCCUCCUUGGCUACCGUCACUUCCUUCUUCACCAAGGACAGAGGUUUACAAUCCGAAAACCUUCUUCCCUCACGCGGCGUUGCUGGGUCAGGCUUUCGCCCAUUGCCCAAUAUUCCCCACUGCUGCCUCCCGUAGGAGUUUGGACCGUCUCUCAGUUCCAAUGUGGCCGAUCACCCUCUCAGGUCGGCUACCGAUCGUCGCCUUGGUGGGCCGUUACCUCGCCAACUAGCUAAUCGGACGCGAACUCACCCCAAACCGGAUUGCUCCUUUUACCCCUUGGCGAUGUCGCCUUGUGGUCUUAUGCGGUAUUAGCAGAUGUUUCCAUCUGUUAUCCCCCUGUCUGGGACAGAUUGUUCACGCGUUACUCACCCGUCCGCCGCUCGAACAUUGGCCGAAGCCAUUGUCCUCGCUCGACUUGCAUGUGUUAAGCACGCCGCCAGCGUUCGUCCUGAGCCAGAAUCAAACUCUGA
rnacentral:rRNA from 1 species